rnacentral:rRNA from 1 species
AGAGUUUGAUCAUGGCUCAGGAUGAACGCUAGCGGCAGGCUUAACACAUGCAAGUCGAGGGGUAGAGGAAGCUUGCUUCCUUGAGACCGGCGCACGGGUGCGUAACGCGUAUGCAAUCUACCUUAUACAGGGGGAUAGCCCAGAGAAAUUUGGAUUAAUACCCCAUAGUAUAAUUGAAUGGCAUCAUUUAAUUAUUAAAGUUCCAACGGUAUAAGAUGAGCAUGCGUCCCAUUAGCUAGUUGGUGUGGUAACGGCACACCAAGGCGACGAUGGGUAGGGGUCCUGAGAGGAGAUCCCCCACACUGGUACUGAGACACGGACCAGACUCCUACGGGAGGCAGCAGUGAGGAAUAUUGGUCAAUGGGCGCAAGCCUGAACCAGCCAUGCCGCGUGCAGGAUGACGGUCCUAUGGAUUGUAAACUGCUUUGUACAGGAAGAAACACUCCCUCGUGAGGGAGCUUGACGGUACUGUAAGAAUAAGGAUCGGCUAACUCCGUG